GUUGAACGCUGGCGGCGUGCUUAACACAUGCAAGUCGAACGAAGCAUUUAGGACAGAUUACUUCGGUUUGAAGUUCUUUAUGACUGAGUGGCGGACGGGUGAGUAACGCGUGGGUAACCUGCCUUGUACUGGGGGAUAGCAGCUGGAAACGGCUGGUAAUACCGCAUAAGCGCACAAUGUUGCAUGACAUGGUGUGAAAAACUCCGGUGGUAUAAGAUGGACCCGCGUCUGAUUAGCUAGUUGGUGAGAUAACAGCCCACCAAGGCGACGAUCAGUAGCCGACCUGAGAGGGUGACCGGCCACAUUGGGACUGAGACACGGCCCAGACUCCUACGGGAGGCAGCAGUGGGGAAUAUUGCACAAUGGAGGAAACUCUGAUGCAGCGACGCCGCGUGAGUGAAGAAGUAAUUCGUUAUGUAAAGCUCUAUCAGCAGGGAAGAUAGUGACGGUACCUGACUAAGAAGCUCCGGCUAAAUACGUG
rnacentral:rRNA from 1 species